UAGGCGUAAUACGAACGAGAUUAUAGGAACGCGGAAAUAAAUACCAUGGUAUAUAUAUGUUGGACGAUUUGGAAACUUCUUCACUACUGUUGCACUAGCUUGUUUUAAACACUUAAGUUCUUUGGAUAACGCCAAAAAGUACAUCACCAACAAAGAUGAAAUCUGUAUGCAUCGCACUCAUGAUGGCCCUUGUCCUGGUCUCCGUUGUCCAAGGUCAAUGGGGAAGCUACUACGGGGGUGGUGGAAACUACUACGGUGGACACGGACUGGGAGGUGGAUAUUACGGGGGUGGAUUGAUCGGUGGCGGACUCGGCGGAUGGAAUUCCGGAUUUGGUCGAUUGGGUGGCGGCGGACUUCUCGGUCUUGGACGUAGAAGUCUUGGAAGAAGAGGAUAUUAUUAGUCUCAUGUUUACUUCACAUAACGAACUUCACUGAAAUUACUGUGUUGACAUAAAUCCAAAUCAUGAGUGACAGCCAUCACAGACUUUGGUCAUCAGUCAUUUAUUUAAUAUAUCAUUUCUCGUUUGUUGUACGUUAUGAUUACUUUUUAUUUAUAUUUGUUAUUAUAUAAAACAAGAUAUUUCAUUGUAUGUUUUGAAUGGAAUGCAAUGCUUUUUAAAAUGUAUAUUAAGUUGAUGAAAUAAAUGAUAAAACAAA